UCUUAGUGGCGAACGGGUGAGUAACGCGUUGGUGACCUACCCCAAAGAUAGGGAUAACAGUUCGAAAGGACUGCUAAUACCUUAUGUUGUCAUUUUGAUUAGAUGCUAAAUGACUAAAGGAGCUUGCUCCGCUUUGGGAGGGGCCUGCGUCCCAUCAGCUAGUUGGUAGGGUAAUGGCCUACCAAGGCGAUGACGGGUAGGGGACCUGAGAGGGUGGCCCCCCACAAUGGAACUGAAACACGGUCCAUACACCUACGGGUGGCAGCAGUAGGGAAUAUUGGUAAUGUGCGAAAGCGCGAACCAGCAACGCCGCGUGAGCGAAGACGGCCUUCGGGUUGUAAAGCACUUUUCGGGAGGAAGAGGAAGGACUGUACUCCCGGAAUAAGUCUCGGCUAACUACGUGCCAGCAGCCGCGGUAAUACGUAGGAGGCAAACGUUAUACGGAUUUACUGGGCGUAAAGCGCGUGCAGGCUGUUCAAUAAGUUGGGCGUGAAAGCUCCCGGCUCAACUGGGAGAGGUCGUUCAAUACUGUUGGACUAGAGGAUGGUAGAGGAAGGUGGAAUUCCGGGUGUAGUGGUGAAAUGCGCAGAUAUCCGGAGGAACACCAGUGGCGAAAGCGGCCUUCUGGACCAUUCCUGACGCUCAGACGCGAAAGCUAGGGUAGCGAACGGGAUUAGAGACCCCGGUAGUCCUAGCUGUAAACGAUGUGAACUUGGCGUCGGUGGGAUUAAAUCCAUCGGUGUCGUAGCUAACGCGAUAAGUUCACCGCCUGAGGACUACGGCCGCAAGGUUAAAACUCAAAGGAAUUGACGGGGACCCGCACAAGCAGCGGAGCGUGUGGUUUAAUUCGUUGCUACACGAAGAACCUUACCUGGGUUUGACAUAUAGGUUGUGGGGAACUGAAAAGGGACCGACCCUUCGGGGAGCCUAUACAGGUGUUGCAUGGCUGUCGUCAGCUCGUGUCGUGAGAUGUUAGGUUAAGUCCGCUAAAGAGCGCAAUCCUCGCCGUAUGUUAUAGGUGUCAUACGGGACUGCCGGUAAUAAUCCGGAGGAAGGUGGGGAUGAUGUCAAGUCAGCAUGUCCUUUAUAUCCAGGGGUACACUCACGUUACAAUGG
rnacentral:rRNA from 1 species